rnacentral:rRNA from 1 species
CGGCGGACGGGUGAGUAACACGUGGAUAACCUACCUAUAAGACUGGGAUAACUUCGGGAAACCGGAGCUAAUACCGGAUAAUAUAUUUAACCGCAUGGUUCAAUAGUGAAAGACGGUUUUGCUGUCACUUAUAGAUGGAUCCGCGCCGCAUUAGCUAGUUGGUAAGGUAACGGCUUACCAAGGCAACGAUGCGUAGCCGACCUGAGAGGGUGAUCGGCCACACUGGAACUGAGACACGGUCCAG